ACUGGUGUCAGCCGCCGCGGUAAUACCAGCUCUCCGAGUGGUAGGGAUGAUUAUUGGGCUUAAAGCGUUCGUAGCCGGCCUGGCAAGUCUCUCGUUAAAUCCAGCGACCCAAUCGUUGAGCCGCGGGAGAUACUACUAGGCUAGGAGGCGGGAGAGGCCGACGGUAUUCUCGGGGUAGGGGUGAAAUCCUAUAAUCCCGGGAGGACCACCAGUGGCGAAGGCUGUCGGCUAGAACGCGCUCGACGGUGAGGGACGAAAGCUGGGGGAGCGAACCGGAUUAGAUACCCGGGUAGUCCCAGCUGUAAACGAUGCGGGCUAGGUGUUGGGGUGGCUACGAGCCACUUCAGUGCCGCAGGGAAGCCAUUAA
rnacentral:rRNA from 1 species